rnacentral:lncRNA from 1 species
UUGAUCCAGUCAAUUAUUAGGGACAGAUCCUGAUUCUUGAAAAGGUUUGGGAUCAAAGUGUUUGGACACUAAAUAUUAUCAACACAUCUCGUAUUUGUUUAGGUCGUCUUCCCUUGAUCCAUAGAUAGUCAGAGAGACAUAAAGUUUCCACAUACAAUUAUUUUGAACGUAAGAUGUUAUGUUUAAUAGUUUGAUCGAGUUGCGCAUCUAAUUGUUCUUUUUUUCCUGAUGCAGGUUACCGAGCAUUCAAAAUAUU